AUUGAACGCUGGCGGCAGGCCUAACACAUGCAAGUCGAACGGUAACAGGAAACAGCUUGCUGUUUCGCUGACGAGUGGCGGACGGGCGAGUAAUGUCUGGGAAACUGCCUGAUGGAGGGGGAUAACUACUGGAAACGGUAGCUAAUACCGCAUAACGUCGCAAGACCAAAGAGGGGGACCUUCGGGCCUCUUGCCAUCGGAUGUGCCCAGAUGGGAUUAGCUAGUAGGUGGGGUAACGGCUCACCUAGGCGACGAUCCCUAGCUGGUCUGAGAGGAUGACCAGCCACACUGGAACUGAGACACGGUCCAGACUCCUACGGGAGGCAGCAGUGGGGAAUAUUGCACAAUGGGCGCAAGCCUGAUGCAGCCAUGCCGCGUGUAUGAAGAAGGCCUUCGGGUUGUAAAGUACUUUCAGCGGGGAGGAAGGGAGUAAAGUUAAUACCUUUACUCAUUGACGUUACCCGCAGAAGAAGCACCGGCUAACUCCGUG
rnacentral:rRNA from 1 species